GCGGGCGUUUCGGGCAUCACGACCCGAUGAGCACGCUCCCCCAGACUGACGGUGCGGGUUCGACUCCCGUCGCCCGCUCCA
rnacentral:tRNA from 1 species